GACGAACGCUGGCGGCGUGCCUAAUACAUGCAAGUAGGACGCAGUUGCGAACGGGUGAGUAACGCGUAGGUAACUGCCUAUUAGAGGGGGAUAACUAUUGGAAACGAUAGCUAAUACCGCAUACUAGUAGAUGGACCUGCUUUGUAUUAGCUAGUAGGUAGGGUAAUGGCCUACCUAGGCAGCCAUACAUAGCCUACCUGAGAGGGUGAUCGGCCAAACUGGGACUGAUGCCCCGCCCAGACUCCCACGGGAGGCAGCAGUAGGGAAUCUUCGGCAAUGGGGGGAACCCUGACCACGCAACGCCGCGUGAGUGAAGAAGGUUUUCGGAUCGUAAAGCUCUGUUGUUAAGGAAGCGGUACUUACCCAGAAAGGGACGGCUAACUACGUGCCAGCAGCCGCGGUAAUAC
rnacentral:rRNA from 1 species